rnacentral:lncRNA from 1 species
GGACUCAGUAGGGUCAGAUGUUAAAUAGAACAUUUCCACUUUUCUAACCACAAAAUCCUCCCUCUCUUGGCCACUUAAAACCUGUUACAUAAUCUGCAAACACAUGAAUGUAAUGAUUUCUGCUGCAGGCCUUGGUAAAGAUCACAUACCUGCAAACUUGCUUUUCUAUUGCAGUUUACUGCUUAAAAUUCUAGCCUUGAAAGCCACUUAAAAUACAUAAUCUGCUUUCAUCUACAUCUGUAGCUAGUGAAUUGGUGUUUGCAAUGAAAACUUUUUCUCUUAUUGUGUUUACAAUUUUUAAUAUUUGCACUUGAAAGCCAUCCCAUCUGAAUUUAAUUAUGACAAAAAAUGAAGCGAGGCUGUACAGAUAAUGUGUACAUUUUCAAAGAAAGAAAAAGACAUUUAGGGAUAUCUUAGGUUAUUCAUAUCUAUGCAAUAUCAAACGUUAUCUUAAUAAAGGAACAGAAGAGUAUCUCCUUAAUUUAUGGCUGCUAGUUCUUCCCAAAUUUAUGAGUAUAGACAGUGUUCAGCAACCAUGCAGUUUUAUACUUACAAAAUAGGCACUGGUCAACAUUGUCCAAAAGUUUUGUUUAAAAGUAUGUCCCUAUCAGAUUUAUCAUUACAAAUAUAGUCUUUUUAGUAGUAACA